rfam:Triticum aestivum genome assembly, contig: Triticum_aestivum_CS42_TGACv1_scaffold_405105_5BL
UUUGUACUCCCUCCGUCCGAAAAUACUUGUCAUCAAAAUGAAUAAAAGGGGAUGUAUCUAGAUGUAUUUUAGUUCUAGAUACAUUCCUUUUUGUCCAUUUUUUAUGACAAAGAUUUUCGGACGGAAGGAGUAUCCA